AGUACCCCGAGGAAAAGAAAUCAACCGAGAUUCCCCCAGUAGCGGCGAGCGAACGGGGAGGAGCCCAGAGCCUGAAUCAGUGUGUGUGUUAGUGGAAGCGUCUGGAAAGGCGCGCGAUACAGGGUGACAGCCCCGUACACAAAAAUGCACAUGCUGUGAGCUCGAUGAGUAGGGCGGGACACGUGGUAUCCUGUCUGAAUAUGGGGGGACCAUCCUCCAAGGCUAAAUACUCCUGACUGACCGAUAGUGAACCAGUACCGUGAGGGAAAGGCGAAAAGAACCCCGGCGAGGGGAGUGAAAAAGAACCUGAAACCGUGUACGUACAAGCAGUGGGAGCCUCUUUAUGGGGUGACUGCGUACCUUUUGUAUAAUGGGUCAGCGACUUAUAUUCUGUAGCAAGGUUAACCGAAUAGGGGAGCCGAAGGGAAACCGAGUCUUAACUGGGCGUUAAGUUGCAGGGUAUAGACCCGAAACCCGGUGAUCUAGCCAUGGGCAGGUUGAAGGUUGGGUAACACUAACUGGAGGACCGAACCGACUAAUGUUGAAAAAUUAGCGGAUGACUUGUGGCUGGGGGUGAAAGGCCAAUCAAACCGGGAGAUAGCUGGUUCUCCCCGAAAGCUAUUUAGGUAGCGCCUCGUGAAUUCAUCUCCGGGGGUAGAGCACUGUUUCGGCAAGGGGGUCAUCCCGACUUACCAACCCGAUGCAAACUGCGAAUACCGGAGAAUGUUAUCACGGGAGACACACGGCGGGUGCUAACGUCCGUCGUGAAGAGGGAAACAACCCAGACCGCCAGCUAAGGUCCCAAAGUCAUGGUUAAGUGGGAAACGAUGUGGGAAGGCCCAGACAGCCAGGAUGUUGGCUUAGAAGCAGCCAUCAUUUAAAGAAAGCGUAAUAGCUCACUGGUCGAGUCGGCCUGCGCGGAAGAUGUAACGGGGCUAAACCAUG
rnacentral:rRNA from 1 species